rnacentral:rRNA from 1 species
GUCUACUGCCAUGCUACCCUGAACUAGCCCGAUCUCAUCUGAUCUCAGAAGCUAAGCAGGGUCAGGCCGGUUAGUACUUGGAUGGGAGACCACUUAGGAAGACCAGGUACUGUAGGCA